UACGGGGGGGGCAAGCGUUGUUCGGAAUUACUGGGCGUAAAGGGUUUGUAGGUGGCCAACUAAGUCAGACGUGAAAUCCCUCAGCUUAACUGGGGAACUGCGUCUGAUACUGGUUGGCUUGAGUGCAGGAGAGGAAUGCGGAAUUCCAGGUGUAGCGGUGAAAUGCGUAGAUAUCUGGAGGAACCCGGUGGCGAAGGCGGCGUCCUGGACCAACACUGACACUGAUGAGCGAAAGCCAGGGGAGCAAACGGG
rnacentral:rRNA from 1 species